AUCUCUGGCCAUACUACCCUGAAUGCUCUUGACCUCAUCUGAUCUCAGAAGCUAGACAGGGUUGGGCCUGGUUAGUACUUGGUUGGGAGAAAUU
rnacentral:rRNA from 1 species